AAUACCCAAUCCUGACACAGGGAGGUAGUGACAAGAAAUAACAAUACAGGGCGAAUGUCUUGUAAUUGGAAUGAUGGUGACCCAAACCCUCACCAGAGUAGCAAUUGGAGGGCAAGUCUGGUGCCAGCAGCCGCGGUAAUUCCAGCUCCAAUAGCGUAUAUUAAACUUGUUGCAGUUAAAAAGCUCGUAGUUGUAUUUUUGCGUUGACGGUUUGACCAUUUGGUUGGUUAUUUCGUUUUCGCUUUUGGGAAUUUCCCUUUUUACUUUGAGAAAAUUAGAGUGUUUCAAGCAGACUUUUGUCUUGAAUACUUCAGCAUGGAAUAAUAGAGUAGGACUUUGGUUCUAUUUUGUUGGUUAUUGAACCUUAGUAAUGGUUAAUAGGAACGGUUGGGGGCAUUCGUAUUUAA
rnacentral:rRNA from 1 species